rnacentral:antisense_RNA from 1 species
CCUCAGCGCGACCCUGGAGCUGGGGGUGUUUUUAAGUUUGGGGCGAGGCCGGUGAAGCCGAGGCGCGGGCGGCAAGGGGCGCUGGAGAGCGACGGGGCUCGGCCUCCGCGGCUGCCCAGGGGCCCGGGGCAUUCCGAGAAGAGAAAAAAAGCUUGUACUUAAAUACUUCCUGCGAAGUUUUGACUGAGACGCUGCAACAAUUCCCGAGCUGUUUCAUCAUGGCACCUUCCUGGUAGCAGGUGGAUUAGCACAUUGUCUGCAACCCAGGAGGACUUGGAGGAAAGUCCCAGCUCUGCUGAUUCUAGCUGAGUAACCUUGGCAAAGGUCACCUCACUUCUCUCUGAGUCUUAUUUUCUCAUCUGUAAAAUGAGGAGGAGGAGGAGGAUCAUCCAAACAUCACGGGACUUCGUUAAAUCAGUGCUUCGGGGCACUUAGCACAGCACCUGGCGCAAGGUAAGCACUUGAUAAAUGGGA